CUUUUCUUAUUCAAAUUCAUAGUUUUGUUCUUUCCCUGGAAUAGAGUUCCUCCUUUAAAAUGCCCAAUAUCCUUUGCUUUUAAAAACAUAUAUUUUUGAGUAAAUUCACAAAUUUCACUGAUAGCCUACUCUGAUAAGUAAAGCCCUGGGUGCAUCUCCAUUGGCUUGCUUUUAUUAUUGUAGAGCAUGACUUUCUGUUUGUUUUCCUGAGUUUCAUGAGUUUGAGUAAAAAUGGAUAUUUAUGUAACAGUAAUGUUAUUUCUAGAUUCUGGAGUUUCCGCCACAUGUUAUGUUUUGCUCAAUGCCUCGCCUAGAAUUAUGCUAUGGCAUCUGUCCUCUACACAGUACAGGCAGGACUCACAGACACUUAGUGACCACAUAGGCAGAAGUUUGCCUUCUGCAGCAAUGGGAGAAUUCUCUGAAAUACUUUUUGCUUCUUACAGCCCAACAAGUGCAAGUAUCAGCUCUCCAGACAAGACACACUGCUCUUGCCGCGUAUCCUGGGACUCUGCACAUCAAGUACCAAAUAAUUUCAUGGUUUUGAUCAUUCUGUAACCAUACAGACAGUGAAUAUCUUGGCACGUGUGAUGGUCCACACCUUUAGUUCCAGAAUUCAGGAGACAGAGACACAUGGAUCCUUGUGAGUUUGAAGCCAGCCUGGUCUACAUAGUGAGUUCCCAGG
rnacentral:lncRNA from 1 species